CACGUGCAAAAAAUUACCUGUAUAAAUACCAGGUAGAGCGGUAGAAGAAUUAUUUCCGUUUUAGAGAGAAUAGUAUACGUAAUAGAAACCAUGUUGAUGCUUCAAUUGGCCGUGUUUUUACAAGCUUUGGUUGUUGCGGCUAACUGGGAUCUUGACCAUUAUAAUGGCUACGAUAAGAGGCAAGCCGGUAAACUUGUACGACCUUUUGGUUCAAACAAAAAAGUGGUGCGUGUGGCUUCUAAUACAUUUAUUAGAUCUCUGAAUUUCAUUUGUGAAGUAACCAAAAGAGUAGAAAAUGCUGAAAUGGGAAAGGCUGUAGAAGAGGUGUUCGAAGGUUUAAAGGAAUCGUGUGAUGCUUACCGUCCAGUUAAAAAACAACUCAGAACUAGACUAAGACAGAAAAUAUUUUUGAAAGCGACCCCCCAGCCACAAGUUACUACUUCACCACAAAGAAGAAAUAAACUGGAGAAAAGAGAACUGUUGAACGCAUUACUUCAAUUGUUGUAAUAAAAUGUUUGUAAAAUGG